UUUUAAUCGAUGGGGGGACGCAGUAGGAUAGGCGAAGCGUGCGAUUGGAUUGCACGUCUAAGCAGUAAGGCUGAGUAUUAGGCAAAUCCGGUACUCGUUAAGGCUGAGCUGUGAUGGGGAGAAGACAUUGAGUCUUCGAGUCGUUGAUUUCACACUGCCGAGAAAAGCCUCUAGAUAGAAAAUAGGUGCCCGUACCGCAAACCGACACAGGUAGUCAAGAUGAGAAUUCUAAGGUGAGCGAGCGAACUCUCGUUAAGGAAC
rnacentral:rRNA from 1 species